rnacentral:rRNA from 1 species
UGGGGAAUAUUGGACAAUGGGCGCAAGCCUGAUCCAGCCAUGCCGCGUGAGUGAUGAAGGCCCUAGGGUUGUAAAGCUCUUUCACCGGUGAAGAUAAUGACGGUAACCGGAGAAGAAGCCCCGGCUAACUUCGUGCCAGCAGCCGCGGUAAUACGAAGGGGGCUAGCGUUGUUCGGAUUUACUGGGCGUAAAGCGCACGUAGGCGGACUAUUAAGUCAGGGGUGAAAUCCCGGGGCUCAACCCCGGAACUGCCUUUGAUACUGGUAGUCUUGAGUACGAGAGAGGUGAGUGGAAUUCCGGGUGUAGAGGUGAAAUUCGUAGAUAUUCGGAGGAACACCAGUGGCGAAGGCGGCUCACUGGCUCGAUACUGACGCUGAGGUGCGAAAGCGUGGGGAGCAAACAGG